CAGCCGCCGCGGUAAUACCGGCGGCCCGAGUGGCGGUCACUAUUAUUGGGCUUAAAGCGUCCGUAGCCGGGUUGGGAAGUCCUCCGGGAAAUCUGGCCGCUUAACGGUCCGAAUGCCGGAGGAUACUCCCAGCCUAGGGAGCGGGAGAGGCCCAGGGGAUUCCCGGAUGCGGGGUGGAAUCCUAUAAUCCCGGGAGGACCACCUGUGGCGAAGGCGCUCGGCUGGAACGCGUCCGACGGUGAGGGACGAAGGCCAGGGGAGCAAACCGGAUUAGAUACCCGGGUAGUCCUGGCUGUAAACGAUGCGGACUUUGUGUCGGACAAGCUAUGAGCUUGUCCGGUGCCGGAGGGAAACCGUUAAGUCCGCCGCCUGGGGAGUACGGCCGCAAGGCUGAAACUUAAAGGAAUUGGCGGG
rnacentral:rRNA from 1 species